AUGAUCUUCUCCAAGCUUUUCAGGAUUUUUGUCCCCGACACCUGUUACCAUGACAACCAUACAUAUUGUGAUGAGUUAGUGCCACGAAUCCAGGAGGUGAAGAGGAAGCUUAUGGGAUUUGUCUCCCCCAAGCUUAUGUAUUUCAGUGUUUCGAGAUUAGAUCUCCCAGCCAUUAUAAAGUUCCGGAUGUUUCCCCGAGCAAGGGCAGCCUUCGGGGGGGGGGGGGUGGUUAAACCCUGUAUGUACAGGCAGCAGUGCAGGAAGAAUCCAAACAAGUGUGUCUACACUGGCCUGGGAUAUCUUCCUAACUUCUGGGUGUGUUUACUCUGCUUUUGGAUUUUCCCCUCCUUCAUGACCAGGGAUGUCUCUCUAAUUCCAUGGGUCCGUCUACACUGGCCUUGCAGAUCUCCCUCGUUCCCAGGAGUUGCUAUACUGAACUGGUGUGUCUACUCCAAUCUGGAAUGUCUCUUACUCCAGCGUGUAUCUGCCUUAAAGCUGGAUGUCUCCCCAAUUCACGGUGUCCACACUGACCAGGGAUGUCUCCCUCAUUGCCCAGCUGUGUCAACUCUGAGGAUGUCUCCCUCAUUUCUUAGGAUUGUAUACCCUGGCUUUGGAUGCCUCUGUGACUACUCAGGUAAGUCUACUCAGACCCGAGAGGCCAGUCUAAUAACCCAGGUGUGUCUCCACUGA
rnacentral:lncRNA from 1 species